CAAAGUAUGAUCUGCAUUACUCUGUUUAUAGCCAUAUUUUGUCAUGGCUUGGCAGAAUCGCCCGAACCACACUCUAGGUGACUGUUUUAGCCUGUAGAGCGUCUUCCUUAGCCUGCAUACUUGCCCUUUUUCCAAACUCUUCCAAGAAUCCUGGGGGAGCCUCCAUAUACACUUCCUCAUUCCCCUUCAACUCUCCAUGUAGAAAGGCGUUAGUUACAUCAAACUGGUUUUAUAUGUAUAUUUUUUUGUUAGGAAUAGAAUUGAUAAAUAUAGGAAAUUAGAAAUUAAGAAAAAGAAUGAGAAAAAGAAAAAGAAGAAAGAAAAAGAAUAGGAAGAUGAUGAGUAAGUUGGGGAAAAAUACGUGUCUUGUGGAAAAAAUUAGGAAGAAUAAUAAGGAAAGAAAAGAAAAUAGAAAAAUAAUAUCAAUCCUCAUCUUUCUCCUCUCUCUUUCACGGCCCCUCUCUCCACACUACUCUCUUCCUCUUUGUAAAUUUUGACAGCCUCUAUUUCCUCCGUUCAACCACCAAGCCUCUACCGUGACAGCUACGGUCACUCCACCACAAAAUAUGUAGCACACACCACCAACCCCAAGUUCCAAGUUUCAUUAGAUGUUCUCAAUUUCAAAAUUGUUUGUUAAACUCACUUCGAAAAUUGUUGAAUUUAGAGGUUAGCUUCCUCCAUAACCUCUUCAAUCAUGUUUCUGAGUAUAGUAGUGAUGUUAAUUUGAUGUGAUUCUUUUUGUUUGGUCGAAAAUUAUGGUUCUUUGAAUUGGGGAUUUCAAUUGUUGGAGAUGGAUCAUAAUUGGACUAAAACCAUAUAAUUUUGUUGUUGAACAUGAAGUGUUUGGAAAAAUUACCCAAUGACACACAAAUAGAAAAUAGCUUGUAUGUAGGUUGUUCUGGUGCUGUUGUACUGAUCAGUUUCGGCCACCUUAACAUGCUAGAAUUUAUGUUCUAAACAUUUUUAUGCAUGCUAUCAGGUCUUGGGAAGAUGUCUACAAAAUUUCAGAGCAUUUCAUCAACGUUUGCUAUUUUUAAAAAUUCAUGUUAAACAGUCGCCAGACUCUGUCACAAACUGGCAGGCUGUAGUAAAACGUUCAUAACUCCGUAAUCCCUUGGAAUUUUGAGGAAAACCUUUUUUGUAAUUAAAAUAGAUAUCUAGAGGUUUAUUUUGAUGUAGGGCUCGACCCCUAGUUAUAUCCGAGCUAACUCAGUUUAUUAUAUGAAGAUGAUGUAAUGCAGUCAAUAUUUUUUUAAAGCUUUAAAAGGUGAGAAUAAAGGUUUUUCUCUUCUAUUUUCAAUUUUUGUAUGUUAUUUGAUUUCUAGUAAUUAAUAAAACAUGUAUAAAACCACUAAAUAAAAAUCUAAUUACUAACUUUAAACUUCUAAAAGAUUGGGAUAUUACAUGCCUCUUCCCCCCACAAUGGGAGCAGGUAAGCUUACUUUUGUCUUCUUCCGGUUUCCGGCUGUUCCACGUUCAGUUGGAUGUGCAUGGAGGGUGGUUGGGUUGCGGUAAUGGCCGGCUUCUGUCGAUUGCAGUGAGUCCAGAGCCUAUUCCGCUGUUUGGUGGCUCUGUGACUCCGAGAACGCCGUCGUUAAUUGUCUGCCUCUGUACCAUUCCGUAAGCUUUCUGGACUGAUGGUAAUGGGUCCUUAUCCAUGAUCUCUCUCUUGAUGUUUGCAUAUCUGUCAUCUAGGGCACUCAGAAAUUGGUAUAGGCGAUGACGCUGUUCUCGCUUGUUAUAGUUUUCCACAUCUGUUGGGCUGGGGUCUCGGGUAUCAAUUGAUAUACACAAGUCUUGCAUCUUGUUCCAUAGGCCUUCCAAGGUCGUGUUUCCCUGUUUGAUUGUCAUAGCUUGUCUAUGCAGGUCGUAGAUCUGACAUGGAUCAGACCCACUUCCGUAAGUGACAGCCAGACCUUCCCAAAGGUCCCUGACUGUCGCGUAUCUUGACACCUCGUUCACAAGUUCUGUCUCGAGGUUGUUGAUGAUCCAGUUGAAUACGCAGUGAUCCCGUUGCUGCCAUUUCGUGUAGCCGGGAUCGCCGAUUGGGGGAGGUUUUGAAACUCCAGCAAUGUGAGAGGGAUGAGGGUUUAGUGGUUGAAAAGAAGGGAGAUAACCUGCUCUGAUACCAUCUUAAAUAUGGUAAUCGAGAGAGGAGAGAUUGGUAGUAGAAGACAUUGUUUUGUAUUUCUUUUUCUUGGUAUAUAACUUGUGCACAAUACAUCCCCUUUUAUAGUUAUACUAUAAGAUAACUAAGGAAAAGAUCAAUGUAUUCUAAUUAUAUCAAUUCCCUAUCAAUCUGAUUCUUCUUUCUAAAAUAGAGUGGUUUAUUCUUCUUUCCUUUCUUGGUGCGUAGAAUAUUCUCUUUUCCUUUCUUGACAUUUAUGAGAUCGGCCAGAAUCCUUACCGGAGUACUUUCUAUACUGGAACCAUUGAGGUUACUGAAGUAGGCGGUCUGCUGAGUGUUGCAUCAGUUUCCUUGUUUUGUCUUGCUGUAGCCCUCCUUGGGAUCUGGCUACGUGGCCAAUUUCAGAAUUUUUCGAAG